GUCUAUGGCCAUGCCACUCUGAACAAUCCUGAAGUCUGCUCUCAGAAGCUAAGCAGGAUCGGGCCUGGUUAGUACUUGGAAGGGAGACCACCUAGGAAGACCAGGUGCUGUAGGCA
rnacentral:rRNA from 1 species